GUCUUUUCAGAAAUGGGACUUGUCUUUUUUUGCCUGUACUUUCACUUUGGAUGGCUUUCCUCAGUCAACCCUUUCUUGAUAUUUAUUUAUCUUCCUUAAACAAAUACUCCUCUCUGGUUCUCUCGUUUUGAUUUACACAAAGUAUUCCUUUUCCUGUUCACUUCUUCUAUUGAUCAGAGACACUUGCUCUGCUUCGCACCUUAAGAGGAGAUUACUUCAAUCAAUAAACAUGAAACAGGUUUUUCAAGACUUCAAGAUAUGAAUGGAACAGGAUAGACUUUUUUCCACCCCAAGAAGGCAGCUAAAUUCAGAAUAGAAAGUGAACCUGAGUUUAAAUUAAAUUAGUUUAAAUUGUGAAUGGGACACUCAGUAGUGGUGUUAGUGGGUAGGGUGGUAACGGAACCCAUAAAGCAGCUGUGUCUUUCAAUAGCAGCUGGAUAUGAGCUCCGUUUCCAUCCCGUUUCGCAACAUCCAACAGUCUGAACGUUUGUAGAGAGAAACAUACUUCCUGGUGUACUUGAGUCAGUGAGUGUCUUUUAGUGUGAUGUGGCUGCAGUUGACUCUUCAAUAACUAAUAGGUGAUGUUCUUCAAUGACACGUUUUCUCCCGGAUUGACACAAACUAUAAGCCCCGGGAAUUUCGUGUCAGCAAAGAAUGACACCAGCUUCUAUAUAGGACAUGAGCUAUUUAUUUUAGCUGAUUAAUGUAGUGUGUAAAUUGAUUUAUCAUCAGGCUAUUGUUUCUGAAUUGUUGCCCUGUUAUUCUGAAUUAAAAUAUAACUGGAUUUUA